rnacentral:rRNA from 1 species
GACGAACGCUGGCGGCGUGCUUAACACAUGCAAGUCGAACGAAGUGGCGAACGGGUGAGUAACGCGUAAUCAACCUGCCCUUAAGAGGGGGACAACAGUUGGAAACGACUGCUAAUACAGCAUACUGAAGGAGGGGAUUGCGUCGGAUUAGCUAGUUGGAGGGGUAACGGCCAACAAAGGCGAUGAUCAGAAGCAGGUCUGGUGAGAGGAACGGACAAAAUGGGGGUGCGAGAAUGCCCAGACUGCCACGGAGAGCAGCAGUAGGGGAUCAUUCGCAAUGGACGAAAGUCUGACUGAGCAACGCCGCGGGAGUGAUGAACGCCUUCGGGGUGUAAAGCUCUGUUAAUCGGGACGCGGUACCGGAAUAGAAAGCCACGGCUAACUACGUGCCAGCAGCCGCGGUAAUAC